GACUGUUUAGUAUAUUUUAGUACGUCUAACUUCCAAUUAGAAGGUCUAUAUAAUAGAAUAGUCA
rnacentral:tRNA from 1 species